UACGGAGGGGGCUAGCGUUGUUCGGAAUUACUGGGCGUAAAGCGUGCGUAGACGGUUAUGUAAGUCAGAUGUGAAAGCCCCGGGCUCAACCUGGGAAUUGCAUUUGAGACUGCAUAGCUAGGGUGCGGAAGAGGGAAGCGGAAUUUCCGGUGUAGCGGUGAAAUGCGUAGAUAUCGGAAGGAACACCAGUGGCGAAAGCGGCUUCCUGGUCCAGCACCGACGUUCAGGCACGAAAGCGUGGGGAGCAAACAGG
rnacentral:rRNA from 1 species